CCCCCCUCUUCCCCCCCCGCAAAGCGGUGAAGUUUCCCAUUAAAAUUGACACCAGGGGAUGGUCUUAGCAGCCUCGUCCGCCCCGGAUUGGUGAGCCCCGCCGGAAGCCGCCUGCACACGCAUUUUCUAACAGAUAAGUCAAUCGGCAGAGACUUGCCCCCCUCUCCCCCCCCACCUUAUCCCAAAAUACCGUUUUCGCAAAGCCGGAGCCCACCAGUCACCCGGCAGCUCCCAGCACUCCCCUCUCCGCCACCCACCCUCGGCUCCUUAGCUCUAAAGGAGGGGGAUGAGGGGAUGUUUCCCCCCUCGCACCUCCUUUGGGGGUGCAAAAGGGUCGGCAGCAGCCGGCACCGGGGGUCCCGCACCCAGCCACCCCUCCGGGCCCGCAGCUUCCCCGGUGCCGCAUAACCUCUGUCCUCAGUCGGCUCUGGGAUGACGUGGCUUCGCACCCACCGCAAUUGGGGAUUUCGAGGUGUCCGUUCUGCUGGAGGCUCCUUAUGGACCGGGGGGAAAUAAAAAGAGAAGAUAGGCCUUUUCUUUUUUGUCGCGGCACGAAAUACCGUCUUUAGGCAAGGGUCUAAAGAUGCUAAAACGGCACCAGAAAUCGAAGUCUAGGAAAGGAGUGAGAAAAAUGAAAUAACGCGAAAUCGGCCGGAGCUGGGGAAGGUUCGCUCUAACAAGUGGUGGGAGGAUGCUCUGCCAACGAGUGGGGCUGCCUCUUCUUUAUAUAUUUCCUUGGCUCUUAUUAUUAUUAUUAUUGCUAUUUUUUCUUCGGAGUGGGAGAGUUUGCUUAAAAAGUGAUCUUAAUUAAAAAGAGAAGGAGCGGAAUGGUUUCCCACGUGUAGAUUCCCGAGAAUACUUAAUGCUUCUCAUCAGCUGCAGCCGUCCGGAUAGAAAGCUGUUGGCUGCUUCUGCGGACGGGCGAGCAGAGCUGAUCGUCUUCCCCCUUCUUUAGCUUCUAUGAUCAUUUCUUCCUCUGUCUUCUCAAAGUUCAAGCUCUCCUUUAAAACAAAGAUCGGGAGCAAAACCGAUCUUUGUUCGCACCUCCACUUCUCCGCACCGUCUGUUGAGAGUUCCGUCUAUUCUCGGUUCCGACUCUUCACGGUUAGCAUCGUUUCUUUGUUUCUGCGUUGGGCUGAAACCCACUUAAUCUGCACUAUCCAGCGGGAAACGAAUCGGGGACUGCAGACACACGGCAGGGAAAUCCCUCUUGGAGCAAAGCUGGGAACUUCUGGAACAAAUCCCCCCCAAUAGCGGUUACCUCUCCUGAUGCCCACCCAGUCAAACCCACUACUAACCACCAUCCGCCCCACGCUUUCCAUCUGCGUGGCUCUUCCAUUCGCAUCGGUGUCCUCUCUUCUAUUUUAGUUUAUUUUCCUCCCCUCUCUGCCGACUCUUAGAGCCCGCUGUGUGGACGGAAGCUUGCUAGGCUUGGAAUUAAAAGGUCAUUUCGAGAGGAUUGCCAAGUCUACGUGCUGGGGGGACUCAGCCUUUUAUGCCGCCAUGUGUUGUCUCCGUCCGCUGCCAUAGGAAAGCAGUUGUGCCGUAAUGAGGUACCUUUAAAUUUAAUUUCCUGCCCCUCCCCUGCUUUAUGGAUUUCUAAUAACAAUGUUGGAAACCGGAGAAGAAACCUCUUAAAGUCUCCCGGACGGAGGGUUUAUAUAAAUAAUGGAAGGUAGCCGAGCUUAAUUAAGUUUUCCAACAAAUUGGUAGGAUAGGAAGAAAUGCGGUAUUUUGUUUAAGGGGACACCCAGAGAAGGAUGCAUUUCUGUUGGGUCUUUCCAUAGAAUUCUUAUCAAUAUUACUCUUCAAUUUAUUCAUUCUUAACUGAUUUUUUUUUUUCGGAGAUUUAAACGUAAUCCCAAAUAACCUGAAAUGUAUAAACUAAAAAUAAUUAAAAGAUUAAUCGGGGGGAGAAAGAAAGAAAAGAAGACUAAAACUGAGAUUUUUGGUCAGAUUUCCCCAUGAAAAAUAAAAUAGGAAAAAAAAAUCGAAUGAAUUGUUGGACCGAUAAAGUCUUAGCGAAGAGAGAGGUUUAAUGUCGGAUAAGUAGAUGCUCGUAUCCGACUGCAGGUUUGCUGGAAGUGUUUUGCCAACUCCUUUUCUUUAAUGCCAUCCAACGUUUCCUUCUCCCUUUUAAGUGCUGCUGGAUUCUUUCUCGAGGUUCAGCCUUACCCGCUCCACCCAAAGCUCCUGUUGCGACUUAAAGUCUUAUUCGAUUAAUUUAGAAGAUUUGCCGCAUCUGUGGACUAAUUAGAUGAUAUUUCUGUAAGCGAAGCUCCCCUCGCUCUCCCCAUCUCAGCUCACGAUGCCGGGUUUGGUGCAGAGCCCCAGGAUGGGGCUGAGACGGCUCCGAUCGCCCCAAACUGGGGUCGGGUUUAUGGGGAUCAUUCUUACGUAUUCUCUCGCUGAGCUGUGGGAUCGUUUCGUUUCUGCACACCGUCUGCAUUUCCAGUUCACCCUGUAAAGAUACAGAAUUACUGAGAUAGGUGUGAUCGAUCUCCCCCCGCCUUUUUGUUCCUAUUAAUUGGGGUUCUCCGGCACCGGAGGGAUUUUUAUCCGGAUUUUUUCUUUUUCUCCCCGGGGAUUUCGCACAGUUUGGUUUCUCUUAAUUGUGUGGGAAGUGGAUGCUGAGGGAGGGGGCUCCGGGGGGGGCAAUAUCUCGGGUUUUCUGUCUGACUGCCGCACAGCCCACAAUUCCGGGGGCUGCGGCUCUCCGUGAUCUCAGGACGGAGCCGCACACCGUGAUUUGAGAAUGGGGAGCGGUGAGGGGGGGGGGGAAGAGUGGCGAAGCAAAGCGUUCAGGCCAGUCCUGAUAGGGAGGGCAGCAGGCCGGGCCGAGGGGCUCCGACUGCCCUCCACUUCGUGUUUUCUUGCUCCGAGGGGAAGUUUUCCCUCGGGAUUCCGCUUCACUUUUUUCUCUGGGGCCGCGUUUGAUGCCACCUUCACGUCUAAGCAGGACUCGGGAUCCCUCCUGCCCUUCGGCACCCCUCGCUGCCCUCACUUUCAGGUCCCCACGCUCACCUCGAGCAUUCCCAGCCCGGAAUUUCCGACUUUACAGAGCCCUUUUGCUUGGAUCACGUCUGAGGGCAUCCCUUGGGGAGAGGGCUUCAGAGAAACAGCUUUAGUCGCGACCCUCUUUAAGACAGAAUUUCUCAUUUUUACUCACAAACCUUUCUCUCUUUGCUUUUUCCCUUCUUUCGCUUAAAGUUUGGGGGGGGAAAGAAAAAUCAAAACACAAAAAAAGCUCGGUUAAAAUGCUGGUGUUCGGCUUGGCAGAGGAAACAAACAAAGGCCGCACCGCGGAUGGCAGCGCUGGUGCGGAGGUAGCGCGGAGCGGGGGCCGAUCCCGGCCAGCGAGCGCCGCCCUGAGGCCACGGAGCCGACGGACCCCGACGGGGGAUGCGGGGAACGGGGGGAGGUGGGGGGGAAGCACUGCUGGUGCUGCGCUAAGGGGUUAAAUGCAGCCCCAGCCAACGGAGGGCAGGGACUUAUUAAUAAUUCUUGUUUAUGGUUUAUUGCCGGAGUACGAACGAUUCAAGCAUUCACAUCUAUAUUUCCCCCCCACACACACCAACGUGUCCUUCCCCCCUCACCCCCUUUUUUUUUUUCCUUUUGCAAUGGGUGAGUAAGAAACCUCACAGCGCAGUUUUCUGUUGCUGAGGAUCUUUUUGGUUUGAUGGAUAGGGGGAAGAAAAAAGAGAGAACCCACGCCAAGCUGUCUCCCACUCCCAUGGGACAUAGCGAGGGGGGGGGGGGGGGGGGGGAGGAAGGAAAGAGGGUAUGGGGGCAGUUUCUUCAUCUUUUCCUUAUAAAUGCGACAAGAGCCUCCCUUUCAUAACGUACUCUGCUUGAGAAUAUCCGCGUGACUCCUAAGGAGCGGACAUCAAAUACUCCCAAAUGGAGCUGUGAAAAACAGCUGCUAUCACCAUAUUUUAAUAAAAGUAGGGCUUUGUGAACAUCUAAGUAAGUCACAAAGAAAUCAGUGAUGAGAUCUGGAGACUCGGUGCCAUUUCCCUUAGAUAAUCUGUAAUAGAUUCUUCCGUUAAGUGUGUUUGUAAUGGAUAUAUACACAUAUAUACAUUUACUGAUCUAUGCUCAUGCAAGCGCCCUCCCAUUCCACCCUAUUAAUUAUUUUAGCACUUAUUCCCCUGACAAGCAGAAGUUCUCUUAUUGCUGAGACAUCCAUUUGCUGUCCCAGAGCUCCAACUUGUCUUUGACGUCUAAAUUUAAAAUGUUUUUAAAAACUUUAGCAAUAUCCAGAAAGGGAAAAAUAACCCCCAUUACCUUCAAAUGUGAUUCCAGCCCAAGAAUUAAAGCUAAUCCAUCACCUAUUUGCAUUUUGUUCUUUUUCUUCCUCUUCUGUUUUGCUCUUUUCUCCCUCCCCCUUUUUUCCCUCUCCCUUUUCAACUGAUUGUUAUUUAUUUUAAACCUGAUCAUGAAAUUAAAUGGCACGUGCAGUUUUGUUUUUCAUGCUUAACUUGAGUGGUUUCCCUUAUUUAUGUUUUCAAUUUGCAAUUUUCUAGGGGGGAGGUUGGGGGGCAGAGUGUGUUUCAUCUCCACAUUGCAGCAGUGGAAGCUCAGUUCUAAAUGCAUUCCUGCCUGUUCUGUCUGAAGGAAAGAGCUUUUAGCAUUACGAGUUCAAGUGUGACUGUGACUUUGGUUUUAGGAAUUGUAGACGCAGUGUUACACUUUUUUUCUUUAAUUAUUCGUAAUAUUAUUCCUCUUCGUGGGAAGUAGAAAAUACUCAAAGCAUUGCAAUGGCAUUGUGGAUGUGAUAGAAAUAACUAUAGUGGAUGGUACGUGUGCAUGACUACAAACUCAUUGUGUCUACCGACCUCAGGAAUGCAGUGCUAGAGGUUCCGAAUGUAGACGUAAUUAAAGUUUCCUUGUCAACUCCAUAAGAGUUCAUUCACAGAUUCGAUUUAUUUAAACUUGGUCCUACAUAUAGGACCAUACAUUGUGCCAAAAUGGUGAGAAAGAGGCCGGGGGGGAAGAUUAAUCAUAAAGUAAUAGAAAAAAUGCAUACAAACUUCUCCUGUACCAAAGACUCCGGGUCAGACGAUCUUUUCCCCCCUUUGGGAGGGCUCUAACCUCACACAACACGAAAAUAAACACCCGGGCUCCACAAUUCCCCUCCUCCAGAUGAGUUUUUCCCUCUUCCUAUUCUCUUUUAAAUGUCUGUCUGUUUGUUUGUUUGUUUUCCCGGGGGGAGUUCCCUGCAGGUUUGUUGUGUUGGAUUUGAGUUGGCGGUGUUGGGUUUGGGUUGAUGUUGAGUUUGGUUUAUGUGCUGGGUUUGGGUUGGUGGUGUUUGGGUUUGGUUUAUGUGUUGGGUUUGGAUUAUAAGUUGGGUUUGGGUUGGUGUUGGGUUUGGUUUAUGUUUUAAGUUCAGUUUAUGCGUUGGGUUUGUGGUGUUGUUGGGUUUGGUUUGUAUGCUGGCUUUGAGUUGGUGUUGGCUUUGGUUUAUGUGUUAGAUUUAGUUUAUACAUUGGCUUUGGGUUAUUGUUGGGUUUGGUUUGUAUGCCGGCUUCAGGCUGGUGUUGGAUUCGGUUUAUGAGGUUUAGUUUAUACGUUGGGUUUGGGUUGGAGUUGGCUUUGGUUUAUGUGUUAGGUUAAGUUUAUGCGUUGGCUUUGGGUUGGUGUUGGCUUUGGUUUAUGUGUUGGAUUUUUUUUUCCUGAUUCCUCCCCAUCCCUCUCCUCCCUCCCGACGUGGUGUAAACUGUUUGAAGUUCAACAACACGGCAAAGUUUUAUUGUAUUUCCGGCACAAUAGAUUUAUAUGCGGUCCCAUCCACUCCUUUAAGCGCUUCUCAAAUGAAAUGGAGCUAAAUUAUUGUCGACUUUCUGGCUCCUGCGUGCAUCUCUUCAUCCCAGAGAAUUCGUUCUCAAUGAACUUUUUAAUCUCCAAACUCGUUCUUUGGGGGCAGUUGCCCCAUUGUUUUCGAGCCCCUAUUGAUUCCCUCCGCUCACUCCGUUUUGUUAUUUAAUCCACUUGAGGAUUAAAUCCGAAUUUACAAGGUAAGCCUUCGACUUUAUUUUAUACGUAUAUCAAUUAUGUGUGUACAUCAGCGUUUGUGACACGAAGGAGCCUGACCCGAUGGGGAUGUAUGGUCCAGACUUUGCUAAAUGGGAAUUAAUAUCUUUUCCUUUAUUUUUUUCCUCUUUCUUCCAAUUUCCCCCUUCGGAAGUCACAGCAAAGCCCUGAGGGCCGCCCGGCUCCAAUCUCCUCUCCCCGGCUUUAAUUCCCCAUUCCAUCACCACUGAGCCAUUCUUUUAUAACACGUUCUUCCAGCGCGGAGUUCACAUUGGGGGGAGGAAAAGACAUCAUAACUUUCUCUGAGUUACUAUUCACACCUCUACAACAGUCACAACGACGCUUUUUCUCUUGCUUUGCUUGAUUUAUAUGUUCUCGCCUUCUUCUUUUCUUUAAAUUAAUCACCCUACGCACACACUGAGAGGAGGGGAAUAUGAAUUAAGAGCUCUUCUAAUUAUUAUUAUGGAACUCUCUGCUUUGACUUCAUUCUCUUUUCUGCCGAUAGUUUCGCAAACGUUAAUGUUUCUAGGUUAUAUAUAUAUAUAUAUAUAUAUAUAUAUAAUCUAUCUCUGUCUCUCUAUCUCUUCUAAUAGCGUUUUAAUACAAAGCCUCGAUGAAUGGCGUUGAUAUGGGAAGGGCCCUUGAAAUCGGCUUUCCGGAGGAGGUGGGGGAAGAACUUUAGGAAUUUUUAGACUUAUUUUAUUGCCUCGAUAAUCGCUUGUUUCUCAAAGUCAACAGCAUUUUACUGUUUCCUCUGCUCUAUUUGUCAACUAUUUGUAACGUCCUGCGGGAGGGAUCCGCUCCAGACACUGUACAUAGGAAAUCAUUUGAAUAGUCAUUUCGCGAAAUCGUAGGGGUUUUAUUUCGUCUCUGAAAAGGUCCUUUUGUUGCUUUUGUUUCCUAGCAACUGUUUUCUAUUAUAAAAGUUCAGAUCGCAGAUGAUGUCAAACAAAAUGGCCGCCCAGGCGCCUUUCUCGGUAAUUUUAGCCUUUGACCCAAGAAUGAACUAGAACUGCUCUGUGAAUUAGGUAGUUUCAUGUUGUUGGGCUUUAAAUUUUAAACACAAGAACAUCAAACUACCUGAUUUACUCCAGUUAUCCCCCUCGGUGUGCAGCUGCCCCGGGCAGGAUGGAGGGAGCGGACACGGAGCCCCGCAGUCCCGCACCGCUCCCCGCACCACGCAGCGGUGCCGCUUUCUUUGUCUCAGUUCCCCAUUUCAGGGGACUUUUGGCGAGACAACGACCCAAAUCAUCAAGACCUCAUUAAAGGUCUAAUUAGGCUGCGGCGCCUCUCGGAGGCCAAAAUGCCCCCCCCAGCGGCAGGCAGUCCCACGGCACGAAACCUCAAUAAAGUUGGUGGGUUUUCUUUUUCCGUCGUGUAAAAUACCUACAUAUAAAUCCGCACACAGCUACAAAGUAAUCGGAGGCCGUCUUGUUUUAGUCGCUGUGAUCCACGCCUCCGUGUGAGGGAUAAAAUGCGGCGUUAGGGAGCACAAAGGAGCUGCGUCCAGUUUAAUUAUCCCCAUUGAGAAACUAAGUUUAUUAAAGGCUCUGCUGCUCAUCUCGCAGUGCCUCGGCUUUGUCAUUUCGCUGGCGAUGUUACAGGGAUGGGGGCGGCGAGCGGCUCUGUAUGGCUUUUCCUUCAGAGGUUUAAAUGCCCAGCUUAGCUGGACGUGUAGGAUAUUGAAUUCAGGGCAAUAUUCAGCCGCUGAGGAGCCCCAGCAUCUCGUAGGACACCUCCAGACAAACCCAAGAGAGAAACACCGCUGCUACAUUCACCGAACGAAAGGGUUCGGGUGGCAUCGGGAAGCGCCUCAAUGAUUUCCUCCCCCCCCCUUCCCUCCCCCUCCUCACUCCAACGUGUUGCAUGCGGGACUGCGCUCAUUUUAAUGUCUUUUAAGCUCAUAAAAGUCCUCGUGGGGGUGGGAGGGUGCGGGGAGCGGUGCGUGUUUGCACGAAGUCCGUCCAUUCCGUUUGGACACUGCGACUUUGUGCUCAGUGUAUGUUAUUGCUCAGCUCGUGGAAGCAAUUUGCCCCGCGUUGGUGUUUGAAACACCCGUAAAAAACAAGUUUCACAUGAUCCAGGCCACGGCUAAACGAGCCUGAGCCUGCGUGUCCCUCCGAGGUUUAGAAGAAUUAAACAUUGAUACGAUAUCCAGAGUUUAACCGCCAUCUGCUGCGGCUGAGAGAUCCCUGGGAAUUCUUAUUUUCCCUUUCUCCUGCAUUUUUUUUCCCUCCCCCCUCCGUUUUGUUAAAACAAAACGAAAACAAACAAACAGAAAACUCGUCUGGGUUUGAGGCCGGCGUGUGCUUUCUGCCCCGAAAGUGGUGACUGUGGCGGACACAUCGCCUAUCUCCGCUAUUAAACAAACAGCCGCUUCAAGGGGAGGAGAGGGAAAGUCAAACAGCGUCAAAUAGCUCGGAGUUUUCUACCCAAUUCAGCAGCCCUGUGACUCCUUCCUUAGAAACAACGCGCUACUUGUGCCCUGCCUCAAAGCCCUUAAACGGAAAAGGACAAUCUGGGAAAGUUAAUCAUAAACUAUUCGGUAAUAAUGUCCCCAUAGGCAACCACUAACCUGCCUUGUAAAUGUCUGGGCUGCUGAUUUUGAUCUCUUUCCUACCCACGUCCAUACAGGAAGCGAGGGCCGGGGAGGAGAGUGGGGAGACGGAGCUGGGGGAGAUCAGAAUCAGGCUCGGGGGGGCUGGGGGGUGUAGGGCUGC
ensembl:lncRNA